rnacentral:sRNA from 1 species
CACAGCAGUGAUUGGUUUCGACAGAAAGCAUGGAGAGAGCUACUGGAUCAUCGUUAAUGCCCCAACCAUGACUAUUAUAGACACCUGAAUGUUGCAGACUAUGAACUUUAGGGCCAGUGACAAUUGUGUGAUAUGUAAGAUAUUUAUCACCAUACUAAAUCAACCAUUUCUGAUUUACCCCACAAUACUGUUAUACCAGUGAUGUCCUGUAACAAUGCUGUGUUAUACCAGUGAUGUCCUGUAACAAUGCUGUGUUAUACCAGUGAUGUCCUGUAACAAAGCCGUGUAAUACCAGUGAUGUCCUGUAACAAUGCUGUGUUAUACCAGUGAUGUCCUGUAACAAAGCCGUGUAAUACCAGUGAUGUCCUGUAACAAUGCUGUGUUAUACCAGUGAUGUCCUGUAACAAUGCUGUGUUAUACCAGUGAUGUCCUGUAACAAUGCUGUGUUAUACCAGUGAUGUCCUGUAACAAUGCUGUGUAAUACCAGUCAUGUCCUGUAACAAUGCUGUGUUAUACCAGUCAUGUCCUGUAACAAUGCUGUGUAAUACCAGUGAUGUCCUGUAACAAUGCUGUGUUAUACCAGUGAUGUCCUGUAACAAUGCUGUGUUAUACCAGUGAUGUCCUAUGGCAAUGAUGUGUUGUAACAGUGAUGUCCUAUGGCAAUGAUGUGUUAUACCAGUGAUGUCCUGUAACAAUGCUGUGUUAUACCAGUGAUGUCCUAUGGCAAUGAUGUGUUAUACCAGUGAUGUCCUAUGGCAAUGGUGUGUUGUAACAGUGAUGUCCUAUGGCAAUGGUGUGUUGUAACAGUGAUGUCCUAUGGCAAUGAUGUUUUGAUUUAAUACAAAGUACAAGCU